GGGAGUGACCAGGAGCAUGGCUAGCUGAAGGGCUUGUUUCUGCAGGACAUGGACUACUCACGCAUCAUCGAGCGCCUCCUGAAGCUGGCGGUGAGUGCGGACAGGUGGCGCAUGCGCAGGACAGGAGGGGACAGUGGCAUGUGGGGGAAGGUUCUAGAACUUGGUGCCCACCCCCACCUCCCUGCCAGGUCCCCAAUCACCUCAUCUGGCUCAUCUUCUUCUACUGGCUCUUCCACUCCUGCCUGAAUGCCGUGGCUGAGCUCAUGCAGUUUGGAGACCGGGAGUUCUACCGGGACUGGUGGUGAGUGUCCCUGGGGUGUCCCUGGGGGCUGGGAUGGGCCAUGGUGUGCUCUGAUCCCCCUGUGGUCUCUUGGCCCCUAGGAACUCCGAGUCUGUCACCUACUUCUGGCAGAACUGGAACAUCCCUGUGCACAAGUGGUGCAUCAGGUAGGUGGGGUGUGUGUGUGUGUGAUGUGGAAGAUGGCUGUGAACCUGAACCACUUUUCACACUCCCCCCUCUGCAGACACUUCUACAAGCCCAUGCUUCGACGGGGCAGCAGCAAGUGGAUGGCCAGGACAGGGGUGUUCCUGGCCUCGGCCUUCUUCCACGAGUACCUGGUGAGCGUCCCUCUGCGAAUGUUCCGCCUCUGGGCGUUCACAGGCAUGAUGGCUCAGGUGAGCGACC
rnacentral:sRNA from 1 species